UUAUUUAUUUAUUUAUUUUUUUAUCCAAUGGGCUCAUGUUGGUAUUAGAAUUUUAAAAUUUACAGUUAUAAUUAUUUUAAUAUCAUUAACCUAAUAUUCAUACACAGUAAUAAUAUUCUUUGAUGAUUAGUGUUUCACGCUGUCUAUACGGGGUGGUUUGGAUUGAUAGUUGUGAUUAGAUUUUGUUGCCACUGAUGUGAAUGAUAUGCUAAAAUUUCAUCAGUCGCCUAAAAUUUUGUGAGCAUAAAUAGUCAAUUGUAUUCCUGUUGGGAUAAGGGUCUGAUAAUUUAUUUAUUUAUUUAUUUUGGUAAGAUGAAAAUGCAAUUUUUAGUGGGACUGUAGGAAGGGGAUAAGGCCGUCCGUGGACAUGAUUGGUAACAUUUGCUCACAAACUUACACUUGGCCUGAACACUGUUUUAGGUUCUCAUUGUGUGCAUUUCUGCUUGUAAUCUGGAAGCAUUUUUAUUACAACAGAGCUCCAAAGAUUGAAUUUUUAAAAUCCAGAGAUUUUCGCUUCUUUGGGCAAGGUAAUUUACGAUGCUUAUGGUUGUCCUGUCCAUUCUACAUAAAUUUAAUGGGAGGCAGAUUUAGACAGGGGUUGGGACUGAAUUUGGUAGGUUCUUAUUAGUAUAGUUUAGAUUAAUUGGGUGCACUCAAAUCUGAUGGGAAUAUGGCUGUGAAUCUCUUUUUUUUUUCAUAUAUUGAAAAAAAGGUAUUAGGCUUAAGUUUAUAAUUAUCUUUGUUAUUAGCGCAAAUAUUAUAGGACAGUAACUGUAUUAUUCCCCUUCUUUUUAUUCCCCUUCACCUGCCUUGCGGUAUCAUAAUUGAAUUAGUUUUGACAUUUCUUUCUAUAUUUUUUUUUAAUUGCGACGUUUCUGUCUGGUACGGCAUGGAACAGUCGGAAGCACAAGUGGUUGGGACGUCCCAUACCAUUCCACGUGUCCAACGAACGCACUAACACCGUCCGAUCAUAGAUUGGAUUAGGAUUAUGGUCCACUUUAUCUCACAUGUCGAUCCGAAUUUGAACACGUAACACAGACCCCGAGAGGGAAAAACUCAAUCCAGCGGCCCGCAAACAUACUAAAAGAACCAGCUGUUCAUGUUGGAUUGAAAUAGAAAUAAAAAAUUAGAAAUAGAAUCUCUGCAGUCUGCACUGCUUUCUUUUCACCCUCUCAAAUAUCUGAACUUUUCAUCGAAGAAAAAUUUGCGCCCACUACCACCCGCUUUAAAAGCCGAACACGAAGUCCACCAAACAAGCCAAAAAAACCAUCAAAGGUGUACAGCCCAUUUUCUACGCAAAAGCCAUAGCGAUUCUAGUCACCGAUCUAGAUCAUCCCUCGAAGGUUAUUCUCGUAAUUUCAUCCCAAUUACCCACUUCAAAUCUGGCAACGCAUUUUUCUUUUUUCAACUUCUGAAAUCACUCGAGGUUGCUUUCAUUACUUAGCAAGCUGUUGGUGACACAUGGUAUAUGGUGUCUAACUAUGUAAUGUUUCUUUAUUGUCCCUUUGUGUUUAUUUUUACAGGAAUUCUGAGAAUUCUAGUGC
rnacentral:misc_RNA from 1 species